CUCUGAUGCAGCGACGCCGCGUGAGUGAAGAAGGCCUUCGGGUCGUAAAGCUCUGUCCUAGGGGAAGAUAAUGACGGUACCCUAGGAGGAAGCCCCGGCUAACUACGUG
rnacentral:rRNA from 1 species